rnacentral:lncRNA from 1 species
UUACCCAAUGAAAUCCGAGUACUUCUACAAUUCUACUUAGACUUCGUUUGGAAUUGCGGGAAGAUUGCGUUACGUGCGGUGAGAAAGUACUUGGAAAAACACUCUGUUUGUUUCCGUACGUAAUAUUAAUGCGUUUCACAUAUCGCGAUGAGUCGAUUACGAUAUAUUUUUUGCUGUUCCACUGAAGAACACAAAAGCAUAUCCCUAUAUAUUUUUUCCUCAACUCCAUUUUAUCUAAUAGCAUUAGAUAGACCACAAUACCAAACUAAGUCUUAGACUGGAAACCAUCUGCUUAGUUUGGUAAUAGCAGGUGUUCCAUU